CCGUACACAAAAAUGCACAUGCUGUGAGCUCGAUGAGUAGGGCGGGACACGUGGUAUCCUGUCUGAAUAUGGGGGGACCAUCCUCCAAGGCUAAAUACUCCUGACUGACCGAUAGUGAACCAGUACCGUGAGGGAAAGGCGAAAAGAACCCCGGCGAGGGGAGUGAAAAAGAACCUGAAACCGUGUACGUACAAGCAGUGGGAGCCUCUUUUAUGGGGUGACUGCGUACCUUUUGUAUAAUGGGUCAGCGACUUAUAUUCUGUAGCAAGGUUAACCGAAUAGGGGAGCCGAAGGGAAACCGAGUCUUAACUGGGCGUUAAGUUGCAGGGUAUAGACCCGAAACCCGGUGAUCUAGCCAUGGGCAGGUUGAAGGUUGGGUAACACUAACUGGAGGACCGAACCGACUAAUGUUGAAAAAUUAGCGGAUGACUUGUGGCUGGGGGUGAAAGGCCAAUCAAACCGGGAGAUAGCUGGUUCUCCCCGAAAGCUAUUUAGGUAGCGCCUCGUGAAUUCAUCUCCGGGGGUAGAGCACUGUUUCGGCAAGGGGGUCAUCCCGACUUACCAACCCGAUGCAAACUGCGAAUACCGGAGAAUGUUAUCACGGGAGACACACGGCGGGUGCUAACGUCCGUCGUGAAGAGGGAAACAACCCAGACCGCCAGCUAAGGUCCCAAAGUCAUGGUUAAGUGGGAAACGAUGUGGGAAGGCCCAGACAGCCAGGAUGUUGGCUUAGAAGCAGCCAUCAUUUAAAGAAAGCGUAAUAGCUCACUGGUCGAGUCGGCCUGCGCGGAAGAUGUAACGGGGCUAAACCAUG
rnacentral:rRNA from 1 species